AACGAACGCUGGCGGCAUGCCUAACACAUGCAAGUCGAACGAGACCUUCGGGUCUAUUGGCGCACGGGUGCGUAACGCGUGGGAACCUUCCCUUAUGUUCGGAAUAACUCCCCGAAAGGGGUGCUAAUACCGGAUAAUGUCUUCGGACCAAAGAUUUAUCGCCUUUGGAUGUGCCCGCGUUGGAUUAGCUAGUUGGUAGGGUAAAAGCCUACCAAGGCGACGAUCCAUAGCUGGUCUGAGAGGAUGAUCAGCCACACUGGGACUGAGACACGGCCCAGACUCCUACGGGAGGCAGCAGUGGGGAAUAUUGGAAAAUGGGCGAAAGGAUGAUCCAGCAAUGACGCGUGAGUGAUGAAGGCAUUAGGGUUGUAAAGCUCUUUUAACCGGGAUGAUAAUGACAGUACCGGGAGAAUAAGCUCCGGCUAACUCCGUG
rnacentral:rRNA from 1 species